rnacentral:lncRNA from 1 species
GUGAAAAUGGAGAUUCGAGAACCCGUCGCCGACGGGCCCCAAGCCGUCGGCGACGCCAUCAGGAAAUGCCCGUAGGCUUCUUUUUCCCGUAUCUAGUUGAUUAACGCGUCGGAGCAGGAAGAAAAUCUAAGGCCCGUCGCCGACGGGUUGAGGGCCGUCGGCGACGGCCUGUCAAAACUGGAAACGGGUUUUUUGUUGAUUUGGGGGUUAAUCUCGAUUGUGAUUGGUUCUCACUCAUUAAAUUCGUAAGUUACACUCACUUUUGAGUUUUGAACUUGUUCUUGGAGCCAUAUUCAUCAAUUUUUCACCAACCAUUCCAUCAUCUAUCAUCAUCUCUACAACCUUGAAUCAUCACCAACCAUCAAAAAUCCCCAAUUCACCAUCCUAAACCCUAGUUCUCCAUCCUUCACUCACACUCACCAUUUUCACUCACAAACCCCAAUCAUCCAUCAAUUCUCCAUCCAAGCAAGCUUCAAGAUGAAUCCUUCCGCGUUCCAAACAUCCGGUGAUCAAGCUUCUUCAACCAUGAGCGGCUAAUCAUCUCGGUUUCACCCCGGUGUAGGUAGCUGUUAAUGCUAGGUAUUACAUUUGUUACGAAUUCGUGAAUUGUCGAGCGAUGUUAAAAGUUAUGACUUUACGAAACGGUGAUAUGUAAUUGUACAUUGUCAUUGUUAGGAUUUACUUGUGUUGAUUACAAAGUGUCUUUUUGUCCGUUCUUCGGGGCGUUGAUAGUUAGUAGCACCUAAGUCACGGUACACUAAAUCCGUUAAUCAAAUGCAUUUGAGUUGAAACUAGAACUUGUAGAAAUCCUAGGUUAAUAAUUACCGAAACCGGGUGUGAUCCUUUUUUAUUAAUAUCGUUCUAAUAAUCAUUUUUCUUACAAUCGUUAAUUAGUAGUGUUAAUCAUUUGCAGCAAUUCAAUUAGUUAAAAAUCAUAUCU